UUAGCCCUAAACUUAGAUAGUUAAUUUUAACAAAACUAUCCGCCAGAGAACUACUAGCAACAGCUUAAAACUCAAAGGACUUGGCGGUGCUUUACAUCCCU
rnacentral:rRNA from 1 species